UGUGUAGGCGGAUAUUUAAGUCCGAGGUGAAAUCUCUGAGCUCAACUCAGAAACUGCCUUGGAUACUAUUUAUCUUGAAUAUCGUUGAGGUAGGCGGAAUAUGUCAUGUAGCGGUGAAAUGCUUAGAUAUGACAUAGAACACCGAUUGCGAAGGCAGCUUGCUAAACGAUUAUUGACGCUGAGGCACGAAAGCGUGGGGAUCAAACA
rnacentral:rRNA from 1 species